rnacentral:rRNA from 1 species
UACAGGGGGUGCAAACGUUGCUCGGAAUUACUGGGCGUAAAGCGCGUGUAGGCUGCUCGAACAGUCGGGGGUGAAAGCCCUGGGCUCAACCCAGGAAGUGCAUUCGAUACUGCCGAGCUUGAGUCCUGGAGAGGAAGGCGGAAUUCUCGGUGUAGAGGUGAAAUUCGUAGAUAUCGAGAGGAACACCGGUGGCGAAGGCGGCCUUCUGGACAGUGACUGACGCUGAGACGCGAAAGCGUGGGGAGCAAACAGG